AAGGAUCAGGAAGCAGGAUGCAAGUGCCGCAGUGUGAAAUACUUCGUCAAAAAAGCGCGUGUUUUCUAACAACUGUGCCCACGCGUCCCUUUGGCCUACUGCUUUAAAGUUGACAUUCAUACUUCUUGAUGAAUGAUGGUCAUUUAAAAGGAACAAAUUAUUGGACAUGCUCGUGAUUAUCCAGCUCUAUGAUGCACCUGCCAAUGGAAGUGAAAGACAAGCCAACCUUAGUAUUGGUUGUUUUUGCUGCUGAUCGGUUCUAAAUCGGAUACUGGAAACCGCUGCUGUUAGUGCUCUGCAUUGGAUUUUUUCUUCGCUUUGCUCACAGUGCGUGACCUUGGUUUGUUGUGGCAAUCUAUCAGUCAAUUAACAGUCCCUUCAGCAAAACAAGUUCGGUCCUCCGUACACAUCUGAUUUCCGUAAGAAUUACGCCUCAAAUUCGAAGGAGACAAUGUUCUAUCGCCACCUAGCGCCUCUACAAAUCGCGACUGAUACGCCUUGCCGUUGAACAUCCGUCCAAGAUAACAUAAUGCGAUCAGGUCGAAUCAUAAAUUAAUUCAAGAGUCUCCAUUCGAUACGAGAUUAUUAUUGGUUGGAAC